rnacentral:rRNA from 1 species
GGCAGCGCGAGUAGUUUACUACUUGGCGGCGAGCGGCGGACGGCUGAGUAACGCGUAGGAACAUACCCCAAAGUGAGGGAUAAGCACCAGAAAUGGUGUCUAAUACCGCAUGUGCUCUAAGGAGUAAAGCUUCGGCGCUUUGGGAAUGGCCUGCGUCUGAUUAGCUUGUUGGUGAGGUAAAAGCUCACCAAGGCGACGAUCAGUAGCUGGUCUGAGAGGAUGAUCAGCCAGACUGGGACUGAGACACGGCCCAGACUCCUACGGGAGGCAGCAGUAGGGAAUUUUCCACAAUGGGCGAAAGCCUGAUGGAGCAACGCCGCGUGCAGGAUGAAUGCCUUAGGGUUGUAAACUGCUUUUAUAUGUGACGAUUAUGACUGUAGCAUAUGAAUAAGGAUCGGCUAACUCCGUGCCAGCAGCCGCGGUCAUACGGAGGAUCCAAGCGUUAUCCGGAAUUACUGGGCGUAAAGAGUUGCGUAGGUGGCAUAGUAAGUAGAUAGUGAAAGCGUUCGGCUCAACCGGAUAUCCAUUAUCUAAACUGCUAAGCUAGAGGAUGAGAGAGGUUAUUGGAAUUCCCUGUGUAGGAGUGAAAUCCGUAGAUAUAGGGAGGAACACCGAUGGCGUAGGCAAAUAACUGGCUCAUUCCUGACACUUAGGCACGAAAGCGUGGGGAGCAAACGGG